UGGGGAAUAUUGCACAAUGGGCGCAAGCCUGAUGCAGCCAUGCCGCGUGUAUGAAGAAGGCCUUCGGGUUGUAAAGUACUUUCAGCGGGGAGGAAGGCGAUAAGGUUAAUAACCUUGUCGAUUGACGUUACCCGCAGAAGAAGCACCGGCUAACUCCGUGCCAGCAGCCGCGGUAAUACGGAGGGUGCCAGCGUUAAUCGGAAUUACUGGGCGGAAAGCGCACGCAGGCGGUCUGUCAAGUCGGAUGUGAAAUCCCCGGGCUCAACCUGGGAACUGCAUUCGAAACUGGCAGGCUAGAGUCUUGUAGAGGGGGGUAGAAUUCCAGGUGUAGCGGUGAAAUGCGUAGAGAUCUGGAGGAAUACCGGUGGCGAAGGCGGCCCCCUGGACAAAGACUGACGCUCAGGUGCGAAAGCGUGGGGAGCAAACA
rnacentral:rRNA from 1 species